GGUGCUUCAGCUUGGUGACAGAGCCUUCGCUUGAUAUGCAGAAGGUCCCCGGUUCAAUCCCGGGCAUCUCCA
rnacentral:tRNA from 1 species